CACGGUGCGAUCUCCGGUAUUGAUCACGAUGCCCUUUGCAGAGCCUAGGAAAGAGUGACCUCUGUUUGUCAUCUCGUGUCAUUCUGGGUUGUUGUUGGAGAAGUCGGGAGUUCGGGUCUGAGGCUCGGAUUCGCCAGUAAGGGAGGAAUUGUCGACCUGAAAGGGUCUAUAUACCUGAGGAACGAGGUUCUUGAAGGACUCCAUGAUCUUUGAACUCUUGGCUUCUUGAUAGUAGGAAAAACAACCGGUGAUCAUCACCACGGCGGAGAGCACGAUUCCGAGGAGGACACCGGAGCUCCUGGAGGAAACCCAAACGGAACGGGGGACCCGAACCCAGGACCUUCUCGCUCUGACCAGAUAGGUCAGAGCCGUACUUGCGGUGAAGCUCGUCCAAGGUCAGCUUAUGGUCAUCCUUCGAAGAAGAAACACGCAUAUCACACGACACGAAU